AUUGAACGCUGGCGGCAUGCUUUACACAUGCAAGUCGAACGGUAACAGCACUUCGGUGGCUGACGAGUGGCGAACAGGUGAGUAAUACAUCGGAACGUGCCUAGUAGUGGGGGAUAACUACUCGAAAGAGUAGCUAAUACCGCAUGAGAUCUAAGGAUGAAAGCAGGGGACCUUCGGGCCUUGCGCUACUAGAGCGGCUGAUGGCAGAUUAGGUAGUUGGUGGGAUAAAAGCUUACCAAGCCGACGAUCUGUAGCUGGUCUGAGAGGACGACCAGCCACACUGGGACUGAGACACGGCCCAGACUCCUACGGGAGGCAGCAGUGGGGAAUUUUGGACAAUGGGCGCAAGCCUGAUCCAGCAAUGCCGCGUGCAGGAUGAGGGCCUUCGGGUUGUAAACUGCUUUUGUACGGAACGAAAAGCCCUCUUCUAAUACAGGAGGGUCAUGACGGUACCGUAAGAAUAAGCACCGGCUAACUACGUG
rnacentral:rRNA from 1 species